rnacentral:rRNA from 1 species
UACGUAUGGAGCAAGCGUUAUCCGGAUUUGCUGGGUGUAAAGGGAGCGCAGGCGGCUUUGCAAGUCUGAUGUGAAAGGCCGGGGCUCAACCCCGGGACUGCAUUGGAAACUGUAAAGCUAGAGUGCCGGAGAGGUAAGCGGAAUUCCUAGUGUAGCGGUGAAAUGCGUAGAUAUUAGGAGGAACACCAGUGGCGAAGGCGGCCUGCUGGACGAUGACUGACGUUGAGGCUCGAAAGCGUGGGGAGCAAACAGG